UACGUAGGGUGCAAGCGUUGUCCGGAAUUAUUGGGCGUAAAGAGCUCGUAGGCGGUCUGUCGCGUCGGCUGUGAAAACCCGGGGCCUCAACCCCGGGCCUGCAGUCGAUACGGGCAGACUAGAGUGUGGUAGGGGAGACUGGAAUUCCUGGUGUAGCGGUGAAAUGCGCAGAUAUCAGGAGGAACACCGGUGGCGAAGGCGGGUCUCUGGGCCAUAACUGACGCUGAGGAGCGAAAGCGUGGGGAGCGAACAGG
rnacentral:rRNA from 1 species